GUCUAUGUGAGCCAGGUCAGAGGUCAUGCUGCGAAGGGAGUCAGAUUCGCACGGCCUCUUUUCCUCUGGAGAGACAUCUGAUAAUGACUGUGAGAUGGAGGCGAGCUGCAGAGAGGUGGAUGCAGUGUGUCUGUGCAACACCGGUCCCUGUACACUAUAUUCAGAAGCGCACACCCUCACACCGGACACGCUGCUGUGUCACCACUGUGGAAAGAGCAGAGUGAUGGUAACCAGAUACUCGGAGGGAUACGGUACUGAGGAGGAGUGUCUGUUGUCUGACCCUCAGGGGGAAAGUGACGCCGAUGCCGACAUCGAGGAUACAGAUUGCAGACUCCAGGAGCCGGGGUCGCUCCAGCGGAUUAGCUCACGCAGACGCAAGCGGCCACGCGUUUCAAGGCAGGACACCACGGAGAGUGAAGACGACGGCGGGCGAAGCCACAGAUCACAUCGCUGGAACCUCAGGCUGAGUCCCGACAGAACCCGCAGCAGGACCAUACUGGAGGAGAGCAUAUCGCAGGUCAGGCCACUGGUCAUCUGUCAAACCAAUGUGGAGAAGCAAAAUAGUCCAUUUGCGGCGUCCCGGAGCUCCAGACUGCUGACAACUUUGUGGUCACCUUCCCUCUCUCUUCCCUUUGUCCUCCUCGUCUCGCUGCCGCUCUCCCUCUCGCUCAUCAUCGUUAUCGUUUCUUUCUUUCUACCAUGGGCCAGGGCCUGAGCUGACAACCUCACCUCGCCCCAAGGAAGGCGUGGCUUAUUCCUUUACUGCAGCCUACAACCAGAAGGCAGUCUGGGCAUCUCAUCCAUGUGGUCUCUCUUUACUUAAAGGAGCAGUGUGUAAGAAAUGUAUGUAAUCAUAAAACGGCCUGAUCCACCCUGAUUCCUACAGUAGUUCGAUCUGCGCUACAUUUUGCUAAUAUUUCACUGACCUGCAAGCAGACCUGGACGGUUAAGCUUCAGCUAAGUUUGGCGAACCUAUUUCAACAUUAUGCAUGCACGGACAUUUGGAAUAUUUUCUGCGCAAACAACAUUUUGCGUGUUCAUUCACUCGCACAUAUGCAGGUGGGUUGUCAGAUUGUCUUGGCCAUAAUUUGUUUGAGAAAUAAAAAGGGGCGACUAGUCAUUGCUAACAUGAGCAAUGCAUUAGCAGAACCCAUUUCUCUGGCAUAAUGCUAAUAGGCUGUGGGUAAUGUUCCAACAUUGCCAUGGCCAUUAUGGCAAUAUGAAACGUAAUUGAGAUAGUAUAUCAGUCAAGUGCAGCUGCUCUUGCUGGAUCCUGCAACCUUACUGGCAACCUCUAUUCUGGGGGUAGGCGGAGGGAUACCACACUCCUCGGUAUUUUUAUUGUGAUUAUGGCACAUUACCAGCUUUGGCCAUAAACGUACAUGCUGCUCCUUUAUACCCUAGAGAAUAGUCAGAUUUACCACUAAAAGCACAAAUGGACACAAACAUUCGGUGUUGUUCACUUGCUGGCGCACUUGAUUGCUCAUCUUUAUCCAGUCUGAUGACUUCCUCUUCAUUUCUACACAGAUGACUAAUUUUCAAGUAUUUUAAACCCAUUUCAGGGACAGUUUUCGGGUGUUAAAAUGGGCUCACAGGCUGCGUUUGCAUCGCACUUUCAGCCAAAAAUGCCAAGUGCAUCAACUCGACACUUGGAUUUGCCUCAUGAAAUCUCACCUUUCCUCUCACUUUCUCACCCCCUCAGCGAUAAAUAUAGCCCUCUCGUCUCGCUCCACAGACUAGCGAGCCCCGGGAGUGACGCGCCGGGGGCGCUUUCAGGGCAGGUACGCUCAGAAUGAGAAACAUUAACAAUGAUGAUGCUGCUGAACUAUGCAAUUCUACUGCCCCCCCCCCUCCCGGCAGCGUCUCAAGGACUGUCUCCGGUUUCUUCGGCACUGCGGCCACUUUCUUCAGGCCCCCCUUUCAUUUCCUUGUGAGGAAUACACUUUCUAGAGUGCAGGGACUUCUAAAAUAGAUCACGGCCUCAUUUAAUAGCAAUAGCAGUUGAGAACUGAUCCAGCUCCCGUCACGUAUGAUCCACAGUUCACCUGUUCUGAUGCCGCAUGUGAUUUUAUUCGCCGACGACUAAUUUCUCUCCCGUUUAGUCCAAUAAACUGACCUCAAACUCUGAUGAGCUUUAGUGUUAUUACAUUGUGUUAUUACAUUGUGUCCAAGUCAUUUGAACAUGGCCUUGCUGUCCAGACUUUACUGUCGUGUUUAAAAAAACAUUAAUGUGUUUAUAUUUAGAAGUUAUUAAGUUAUUCCACUUGACAAUCCUGCAACUGGAAAGUAUAAAACAAACUAGUUUUGUGUUUUUGUUCAUGUCUGAUGUUUUUGUAUUUAUUUGAAUGUUUCUUAUCUCUUCCAGCCUGAUGUGUUGCCUCUGUUUAAAUCUUACUGUGUAUUUAUUCCCAUGUGUACUGUACAUUCACCUCUACGUUUCACGAGGCACUAGAAAUUCAAUAAAAUUAGAUUGUAUUUUGAGAAGAAAGGCGAUUUAUUGUGUUAAUUCCUUUCAGGUUGUCAGAAAUGGAAUAUCGUAUAUAGCGAGAUACUUUUGCUCGUGUUUAGCAAUGUUAGCAUACUAUUCAGUGCCCAUCAUGCACGGUAGGAUCUCCAGCGCUCAGUUUUUGCAUUUUGUAUUGCCACCAAAUCUCACACACAAAAUUAAAGUUAGUUGAAGUGCUUUCUUGAUCACUUCGUCAGCAGUGAAGGUUCCUGAUAACUGCAGAAAACAUGCAGCGGAGCCUUUUGUCCCGGCCGUGUUGAGAAGAGUGCCUGAGGGCUGGUGUCCCAUAACGAAG
rnacentral:lncRNA from 1 species